UACGUAGGGGGCUAGCGUUGUCCGGAAUCAUUGGGCGUAAAGAGCGUGUAGGCGGUCCGGUAAGUCCGCUGUGAAAGUCGGGGGCUCAACCCUCGAAUGCCGGUGGAUACUGUCGGGCUAGAGUGCGGAAGAGGCGAGUGGAAUUCCUGGUGUAGCGGUGAAAUGCGCAGAUAUCAGGAGGAACACCGGUGGCGAAGGCGGCAUCCUGGACCGGCAUUGACGCUGAGGCGCGAAAGCGUGGGGAGCGAACAGG
rnacentral:rRNA from 1 species